GCUCCUAUGAUCUCCUUCCUCGCUCACUUCGCCUACUCCGCCUUCUCUCUCGAUGACGCCUCCAUCUCCUUUCUGCUGUGGUGCUACCCUUCCCGGACCUCUUGUGGGGUGGAAGCUACAACAGCGAUUGAGAGGAGACGGGAUGCCGCGACGGGGAUGGCACAUGGCAGAAGAAGCAUCCACCACACCGACAUCGAGGUGUGCGCAGGCUCCGGUUAUGUGCGGCCACCGGUGGAUGCCGAACAUUCAGAGAUAGACAGCCGGUGGUGGUUUGCGUGCAUCGGCGCUGCGUCGACGCCACAAACGUUCCCAUCACCAGCCGUCCAUCCCCCUCGACUCCUCUCCGUGAUUCCACCGGCCAAGGUUCAGCUGAUAGCGUGGGUUAGUGCCAUGAUUUCGAUGUCAGAUGACCACAUCAGAUAGCUAUUUGAUCAGGGUGCGGCAACGUUGGUUCUUAUUCGUCGACAACUGCGGCAACUCCAUCGUGGCGGACCACCUCGACCCCGGUGCUAUAGGAUCAGGGUUCCCUAUGUCCGGGGGACCUCAGGGAAUCACCGGGUGCAUAGCCAACGCUGCCGGCCCAGUGCCCAGUUCAGCAUCAGUCAAUUGCCUGUGUCACGGUUUGAUGGCAUCCUUUAGGAGGCACCAUUGCAGGGAAGGUGAUACAGAUGUUAUUUCGGAGAACAAAAUAUCAUCCACGAAGCAAAGAGCCAUGGUUGCUAUGUUUUCACAUUUCAAAUGGACUGCUAGGCGCAUUACUUCUUGAUUUAUUGAAGACCCUGCCAUCCUGAAGCCAUGCGGUCAAGCAUGGCAAUGCAAAAGUUUCUUGGUUGUCCUGCAACAGGUUUCGUGCAAGUUUCAUAUGACUUUUCAUAUGUGAAUCUUUGUCACUGAAAUUGCCUGAUGAAGUGCACUCAAUUUAUCGCCUACUUAGUUAUUCAUUUCCAUUUUGACGGCUAAUAGAAGAUCUCUACUCUCUUAUGUCCACUAAAGUUCCCUUCAAACAGAAAUGCUAUUUGUCUGUCCAAAAUUAAAAUACUAUGCCUUCCUCAAAUGUUAAUAUGUAGGUCAAUUGUAGGGCUGCUUAGCCAUCUAGGUUUACCUGUGUUGUAUCUCUAAAAUACAACCAAUGGAUAGCAAAUGACUAAUCAAUUGGGUGGUGUUCUAUGAAGGUAAUGUAAUAUGUUUAUAUUU